AUUGAACGCUGGCGGCAGGCUUAACACAUGCAAGUCGAACGAGUGGCGGACGGGUGAGUAAUGUCUGGGCAACUGCCUGAUGGAGGGGGAUAACUACUGGAAACGGUAGCUAAUACCGCAUACCAUCAUAUGUGCCCAGAUGGGAUUAGCUUGGUGGUGGGGUAACGGCUCACCAAGGCGACGACCCCUAGCUGGUCUGAGAGGAAGACCCGCCACACUGGAACGGAGACACGGUCCGGACUCCGACGGAAGGCAGCAGUGGGGAAUAUUGGACAAUGGGCGAAAGCCUGAUGCGGCCAUGCCGCGUGUAUGAAGAGGGCCUUCGGGUUGAAAAGUACUUUCAGCGGGGAGACGUUACCCGAAGAAGAAGCACCGGCUAACUCCGUGCCAGCAGCCGCGGUAAUUC
rnacentral:rRNA from 1 species